rnacentral:tRNA from 1 species
GCGGAUGUGGCGGAAUUGGUAGACGCGCAUGCUUCAGGUGCAUGUUCCCGAAAGGGAGUGGAGGUUCAAGUCCUCUCAUCCGCACCA